ACUGCGGCUCCUGCUGCCGCCGCCGCUCGGCCUCAGGCAGCUGCAUCCUCGGCCGGGCCGGGUCCCCGCCCCGCGCCGCGCCCGGCCCCGCCAUGGUGUCCUGGAUCAUCUCUCGCCUGGUGGUGCUCAUCUUUGGCACCCUGUACCCAGCCUAUUCUUCCUACAAGGCCGUGAAGACAAAAAACGUGAAGGAAUAUGUGAAAUGGAUGAUGUACUGGAUUGUCUUUGCCUUCUUCACCACGGCCGAGACGCUCACGGAUAUAGUGCUCUCCUGGUUCCCCUUCUACUUUGAACUGAAGAUCGCCUUCGUGAUAUGGCUGCUGUCCCCUUACACCAAGGGCUCCAGCGUGCUCUACCGCAAGUUUGUGCACCCAACGCUGUCCAACAAGGAGAAGGUUUGCCCCCACUCUCAGCUCACCUCCCAGCCUGCCCCCAGCCAAGGCAGUCCAGAGCCUGCAGCCUCAUACAGACUGGCCCUCCCUGUGGGGCCCAGAGCCCAAAGUGACCUGGCAGAGCUGCCGUGGCCUCCUGGAGCAGGCAGGGGCCUCUGUCCAGGGGUGAACAA
rnacentral:sRNA from 1 species